rnacentral:rRNA from 1 species
GACGAACGCUGGCGGCGUGCUUAACACAUGCAAGUCGAACGGAAAGGCCUCUUUCGGGGGGUACUCGAGUGGCGAACGGGUGAGUAACACGUGAGUAACCUGCCCUUGACUUUGGGAUAACUUCAGGAAACUGGGGCUAAUACCGGAUAGGAGCUCCUGCUGCAUGGUGGGGGUUGGAAAGUUUCGGCGGUUGGGGAUGGACUCGCGGCUUAUCAGCUUGUUGGUGGGGUAGUGGCUUACCAAGGCUUUGACGGGUAGCCGGCCUGAGAGGGUGACCGGCCACAUUGGGACUUAGAUACGGCCCAGACUCCUACGGGAGGCAGCAGUGGGGAAUAUUGCACAAUGGGUGGAAGCCUGAUGCAGCAACGCCGUGUGCGGGAUGACGGCCUUCGGGUUGUAAACCGCUUUCGCUCAUGACGAAGCUUUGCGUGACGGUAGUGGGUAAAGAAGCACCGGCUAACUACGUG